UUAGGUUUUCUUCAUUUUCUUCUAGAUUUUUCUUGGACUUUUGUUGUUGAAGGUCGAUGGAUAUGAUAUGAAGAUGAAGAAGAAGAGAAG
rfam:Medicago truncatula strain A17 chromosome 5, whole genome shotgun sequence.